rnacentral:rRNA from 1 species
UACGUAGGGUCCGAGCGUUGUCCGGAAUUAUUGGGCGUAAAGGGCUCGUAGGCGGUUUGUCGCGUCGGGGAGUGAAAACACGGGGCUUAACCCCGUGCCUGCUUCCGAUACGGGCAGACUAGAGGUAUGCAGGGGAGAACGGAAUUCCUGGUGUAGCGGUGAAAUGCGCAGAUAUCAGGAGGAACACCGGUGGCGAAGGCGGUUCUCUGGGCCUUGCCUGACGCUGAGGCGCGAAAGCUAGGGGAGCGAACAGG